rnacentral:rRNA from 1 species
GAUGAACGCUGGCGGCGUGCCUAACACAUGCAAGUCGAACGAAGCACCUUACCUGAUUCUUCGGAUGAAAGUUUGGUGACUGAGUGGCGGACGGGUGAGUAACGCGUGGGUAACCUGCCCUGUACAGGGGGAUAACAGCUGGAAACGGCUGCUAAUACCGCAUAAGCGCACGAGGAGACAUCUCCUUGUGUGAAAAACUCCGGUGGUACAGGAUGGGCCCGCGUCUGAUUAGCUGGUUGGCAGGGUAACGGCCUACCAAGGCAACGAUCAGUAGCCGGUCUGAGAGGAUGAACGGCCACAUUGGAACUGAGACACGGUCCAAACUCCUACGGGAGGCAGCAGUGGGGAAUAUUGCACAAUGGGGGAAACCCUGAUGCAGCAACGCCGCGUGAGUGAAGAAGUAUUUCGGUAUGUAAAGCUCUAUCAGCAGGGAAGAUAAUGUCGGUACCUGACGAAGAAGCUCCGGCUAAAUACGUG